CCACCCUCUUAGGGUCCAUUUAUUGAGGCCCUAAUAUGUGUUAGAGACUUUCCUGGAUUUACUUUUCUGAUUUUUAUUACAUUAUAUUUUCAAUUGUGUGGAAUGGACUACAUAAGAUACAAAUUGUAUUUGUAUCUAUUCAAAGCAGGCACUGUGAAUAAAAGGUGCUUCCAGGAAUUCCCGGUAGAAGAGGGAGUGCAGAACGGGAGAGCCAGGGCAAAGCAGGAGGAGCGCAGCCCUGGCAGGAACAGGUCAGCAUGCAGUUUGGAUCAAUAGGGAAACACCACGUCUCUUCGUGUGCACAGGCUUCUAAACUUCAUGGGAUUGUUUUCAGCAUCACAUGAGACCCUGAGUAAAAGGCUCACUGAGCCUGGGGUAUCGUGAACGCCGCACACAUGGUUGUUAUUAUUCACUUGGCAAUGCCCUGGUCUUCCUGUUCCCUAGCACUUCCGCAGUGGCAUGGAAAGGAGAGCAUAGGAAGCCUCUUUCCAACCGGCUGGGGGCUCCGUUGUGGCCUCCGCCACCCUAGGGCCAGGCUCCCAGUGUUCCAGCUUUUUGAUGUCCCGGCUAUUUCAAUUAUACCCACUCAUUCAGGGAGUCCCAUAAGUACCCAGGUACAUUAAUUUUCUUCAAAGUGCAUCUGCAAUGCAUGGUUGGCUGACACGCUGACAGCCCCAUCGCCAGCCAGGAGCCGUGGCAGAAGCAGCCCCACAGUCAGACCGGUGAGGUUAGGCUGGGAGUUGCUUGGACGCUCACUAGUGCUUCACCAUGAGAUUCUUCCCUGGAACAACUGGUGUGUGUUCUUGGCUGAACUCGGGUCCAUUAGACGUUGACUUCACAUUGACCUAAGAAGUUAAAGGAAAAGGGUCUCUGGCUGACGGGGGCGGGAGGGGGUGGGGUGGUGGGAACCGGCCACGCCGGGAAAGGUGCAGUAGGCGCACACAAUUGACUGAAGAGGACAGCUGAGACUUAUACGGAGGAUUCCACCUACGUCUCCAGCCAGCCUUACGGUUCUCCCACUGCUGCUCAACACUAAGGGCCCUGGGAGAGCGGGUGCGGGCGGCUGAGCUCUGCCCGCAUCCCACCUCUCACGCAGCCGCGGAGUGGACUCGGCCUGGGAACCCUUGUAAUCCAAUUGCGGGAGGAGGUGCCAGGAAUGACCCCUCCACCGUGGGCUGUGGGCGUGGUGGGAGGAUCAUUUCACCCCAGGACAAGGGUGAGCCCUUAGGAAGCUGGAAUAGAUACUUCGAAGCCCGAGAUGACCACUGUCCACGGCAGCCUCAGUCCCUUUCUCCCAGAACAUCAUUUAGCUGUUGAGCUAAAUCAUCCACUUGGCCCCUUACAGCCUCGACCUCGUCACAAUGAAGUAGAUGAGGCCACAGAAGCCUUUGUUAUCUCCACGAGCAGCUGGAGCCCGGCUUUGGCUGAGCCCUGGCAAUGCCUGCUACACCCCAGACCAAGACAGAAGACAACCAGCAUCUAUGAACCAGGAAGCCCCCACCAGGCACUGAAUCUGCCCCUGCGUGGAUCUUAGACUUGCAGACUCCAGAACUAUCCCUGUGGUUGUCAGGGAGCGGACUCUCAGGCUGCAGAGCCAUCUCUGUGUCACAGGCCAUGUGGAUGAUCCCAUGGGGUGCAGAGAUUUGCGUCUCCCUCACUCAUGACACACUGGUCCCUGCAACAUGUCGC
rnacentral:lncRNA from 10 species